GACGAACGCUGGCGGCGUGCUUAACACAUGCAAGUCGAACGGAAAGGCCCUGCUUUUGUGGGGUGCUCGAGUGGCGAACGGGUGAGUAACACGUGAGUAACCUGCCCUUGACUUUGGGAUAACUUCAGGAAACUGGGGCUAAUACCGGAUAGGAGCUCCUGCUGCAUGGUGGGGGUUGGAAAGUUUCGGCGGUUGGGGAUGGACUCGCGGCUUAUCAGCUUGUUGGUGGGGUAGUGGCUUACCAAGGUUUUGACGGGUAGCCGGCCUGAGAGGGUGACCGGCCACAUUGGGACUGAGCUACGGCCCAGACUCCUACGGGAGGCAGCAGUGGGGAAUAUUGCACAAUGGGCGGAAGCCUGAUGCAGCCACGCCGCGUGCGGGAUGACGGCCUUCGGGUUGUAAACCGCUUUCGCCUGUGACGAAGCGUGAGUGACGGUAAUGGGUAAAGAAGCACCGGCUAACUACGUG
rnacentral:rRNA from 1 species